GGGGCGGUGGCGGAAUGGCAGACGCGGCGGACUUAAAAUCCGCUUCCCUCACAGGAGUGUGGGUUCGAAUCCCACCCGCCCUA
rnacentral:tRNA from 1 species